UACGUAGGGUGCGAGCGUUAAUCGGAAUUACUGGGCGUAAAGCGCGCGCAGGCGGCUAUCCAAGUCAGUGGUGAAAGCCCGGAGCUCAACUCCAGAACUGCCUUCGAUACUGGCGAUCUCGAGUUCGGGAGAGGUGAGUGGAACUGCGAGUGUAGAGGUGAAAUUCGUAGAUAUUCGCAAGAACACCAGUGGCGAAGGCGGCUCACUGGCCCGGUACUGACGCUGAGGCACGAAAGCGUGGGGAGCAAACAGG
rnacentral:rRNA from 1 species